rnacentral:rRNA from 1 species
UACGUAGGGGGCAAGCGUUGUCCGGAAUUAUUGGGCGUAAAGAGCUCGUAGGCGGUUUGUCGCGUCUGCCGUGAAAGUCCGGGGCUCAACUCCGGAUCUGCGGUGGGUACGGGCAGACUAGAGUGAUGUAGGGGAGACUGGCAUUCCUGGUGUAGCGGUGAAAUGCGCAGAUAUCAGGAGGAACACCGAUGGCGAAGGCAGGUCUCUGGGCAUUAACUGACGCUGAGGAGCGAAAGCAUGGGGAGCGAACAGG